rnacentral:rRNA from 1 species
CCUACGGGCGGCAGCAGUGGGGAAUAUUGCACAAUGGGCGCAAGCCUGAUGCAGCCAUGCCGCGUGUGUGAAGAAGGCCUUCGGGUUGUAAAGCACUUUCAGCGGGGAGGAAGGCGUUAAGGUUAAUAACCUUGGCGAUUGACGUUACCCGCAGAAGAAGCACCGGCUAACUCCGUGCCAGCAGCCGCGGUAAUACGGAGGGUGCAAGCGUUAAUCGGAAUUACUGGGCGUAAAGCGCACGCAGGCGGUCUGUCAAGUCGGAUGUGAAAUCCCCGGGCUCAACCUGGGAACUGCAUUCGAAACUGGCAGGCUAGAGUCUUGUAGAGGGGGGUAGAAUUCCAGGUGUAGCGGUGAAAUGCGUAGAGAUCUGGAGGAAGACCGGUGGCGAAGGCGGCCCCCUGGACAAAGACUGACGCUCAGGUGCGAAAGCGUGGGGAGCAAACAGGAUUAAUACCCGGGUAGUC